rnacentral:rRNA from 1 species
GGGCGAAAGCCUGAUGGAGCAACGCCGCGUGAGUGAAGAAGGAUUUCGGUUCGUAAAACUCUGUUGUAAGGGAAGAACAAGUACAGUAGUAACUGGCUGUACCUUGACGGUACCUUAUUAGAAAGCCACGGCUAACUACGUGCCAGCAGCCGCGGUAAUACGUAGGUGGCAAGCGUUGUCCGGAAUUAUUGGGCGUAAAGCGCGCGCAGGUGGUUUCUUAAGUCUGAUGUGAAAGCCCACGGCUCAACCGUGGAGGGUCAUUGGAAACUGGGAGACUUGAGUGCAGAAGAGGAUAGUGGAAUUCCAAGUGUAGCGGUGAAAUGCGUAGAGAUUUGGAGGAACACCAGUGGCGAAGGCGACUAUCUGGUCUGUAACUGACACUGAGGCGCGAAAGCGUGGGGAGCAAACAGGAUUAGAUACCCUGGUAGUCCACGCCGUAAACGAUGAGUGCUAAGUGUUAGGGGGUUUCCGCCCCUUAGUGCUGCAGCUAACGCAUUAAGCACUCCGCCUGGGGAGUACGGUCGCAAGACUGAAACU